rnacentral:misc_RNA from 1 species
UCGGUGUCUCUCCUCGAGAGGUGUCGGCGGAGCUUACGGUGUAUCUCGUCUUGCGAUGGGAAGACGCGUGAGUGGCGAUUAGGAUAUGUUCCUAUGCAGGCUCCGUGCGUCUUUGCAUCGAACUGCUUGGGUCUAUCUAUUCCAUUCGUGGUUUCGUUCCGGUGUUUUCAUGUACGGUUGCGAACAGUCGUUGGGUUGCUGUGCUCGAUAUCGAAGUCGAUAGUUGGAUGGAUUGUAAUCCCCCCGUCAUGGUUUGCAUGCCCCCCCGGCCACGUGUGGCGGCGGAGGGUAUUGUGCGGGCGUCCACGUUUCCCUUACGAGCCGUUGUCCCCCGAUCGGGUGCUUCUGUUCAUGAUGGCGCGUGAGAUGCUCUCGGCACUCUCGGGUACGGAGAAUAUAUGGCCAUCGCAUCGGCCUUCGACCCUUGCGGAUGUAACGUAUCGAAGCUCUAUCGCUUCUAAAUGUAUGACCCUCGUGCUCGUCCGAGAGCUCGCGGAGCCUCUUCGUUCGGUGUUCUUCUCGGUGAGUUGCGAGGUCUACAACG